rnacentral:lncRNA from 1 species
GCCUGGGCGGGGUCAUGCAAAUAAAACCGCUCUUAAAGCGCCAGGCCCCGCGGGAGGGCGGGGGCGCUGGAGACGCGCCCGGCUGGGCCAGCGCUGGCGGGGAGGUGCGGCUCUCUGGUCCCUUGCUUUGGUGAGGUGAGCGCUUCGCGGACGAGCGUCCUGCGACCGGGACCGUCCUCCUCUGUGGGUCCCUAGUCUCCAGACUAGGGCAGGCCCAGAGGAGGCGACUUGCUCACAGGGCAGUUCUGGGACAGAUCCUAAGGCCUGCCUGAGAUCUUGGGUCUGGGUGGCUGCCCUGCCAGGGGACCCGGUCACCCCCUGCAGUGUCGUCAGUAGGGGCCACUCCCGCUUAACAGUGCCUGGAUACCCUUGUGGAAGGGGGCCAGUCCCCCGGAGGCCAGCACCAUGCAGCUCCCUGAGUUCUGAGCCUGUGGACUCUUAUUUGCUCCGGGCCCUGGGGGUGAGGGUCCCAUCUAGUUGCGAGGGUCCCUGGCCUGGGGGACUUUAGGGCACUAGAUAAGGUGUUUGCACUGUGCACAGCCACAUCAGGAGAAAUCUCAGGGAGGUUUCCUGACGGGUUCAGGGUCCAAAGGGCACCUCACAGCAAGAGAAUCUCCAGCAGACUCCUGGGUUGGUGGCUGUCAGUGGGGGAAGACAGGUCCACGUGGCCAGGGGGCAAGCUGCUCCUGGGCCUGGUGGAUAUGGCAUAGAACUUCCAGAGCCCACAAUCUGGAUUCUGUGUCCCCAGCUCGUGGCCAUUCCAGCUCUUCUCCCGCCUCUGGGACAACUGACCUCACACCUUGUUCUGAGCAUUUGUCCCCCCUGCGAGCCAAGCGCGGAGCCCCUGAAGACAACGGCGCACCCACCGAAGAUGAGCAGGCAGAGCCAUCACUAGCGCUGAGUUUCCGGGAGCUUUCGUGUCUGACUCCGCGUGUUUCUGGGCAGCGGCUGGUUCUUCCACGGAUGUGAAACCAGAAACCCUGCCUCAGGUAAACCCCCCGCCUGCUCCGGGAGCAAGGCUAGG